UACUGUUUGCCUCAGUUUUCUCAUCUGUAAAAUGAACUAGAGAAAGAAAUGGCAAACCACUUUGCCAAGAACACCCCAUAUAGGAUCAACAAGAGAAAUGAAAUCAACAACUAAAAUGACUAAAAUGGAGUGGAUAGAGCCAAAUAGAGGUCAACUUUCUGGAAUUAGAAAGACUUCAAUUCAAAUCUGGUCUCUAAUACUUCAUGGUUGUGUGACCCUGAGCAAGUCUCUUAAUCUCUCCUCCAUUUUCUAGUCUGUAAAGUAGGGAUAAUAAAUUGAUUUUCCCAGGAUUUUCAUAAUGAUAUAAUGAGCUAUAAGUAAAAUGUUUUGAAAACCUUUAAGUACUAUAUAAAUGCUACCUAUAAUUCUUAUCUUUCUUUGGUCUUGGCAGCAUUUGUCUCCCCUGAGGACCCUUUCCUCCUGGAUACUCUUUCUGCAUAAGAGUUUCAUAAAACUGCUGCUUUAUCUUAGUUCUCCCCCAUCUCUCUAUUUACUUUUUUUCAGUCUCAUUUACUAAAACAUCUUCCAUUUCAUACUCCCUAAUUGUGAAUGUACUCAUACCUCUGCUCUGGGCUAUCUUCUAUUUUCUUUCUAGGUUCUUUCUGUUUUAGUAAUCCCAUCUGCUCACAUGGGAUAAAUUAUCAUGUCUGUGAUUACCAGAUGUAUAUUUACAGUCUAGUUCUUUGUCCUGAGUUCCAGUCUAGGUGCUGGAGAAUUCUUUUGGCAUCCUGAAUAUGUUACAAACUCAAUCUAUCCUAAACAGAACUCACUCUUUUCUCUCUCCAAUCCAACUCUCUUUCAAACUUCCCUAUUUUUGUUGAGGUGACCACUCUAGGUUUGUAACCUUGUCAUCCCUCACUCCUCACUCUCAUCUCAUAUUUAAUCAAUUGCGGAAUCCUAUCAAUUCUAUCUCCAUCCAGUUUUUUGGAUCCAAUUUUCCCUUUUCUUUACUCCCAUAGCCUAAUAGGUCCCCUUUCUUCAAGUUCCUCUCCACUUCAACUCAUUCUCUACACAGUUAACAAAAUGAUUCCUCUACAUCUCCCAAACUCUGAAAGAUCAGUCCCAACUAUAACACUUCUCUUCUCAAUAAACUCCAGUGACUCCCUAGUACCUUUAGGAUCAAAUGUAGAUUCCUUGGUAUGACUUUUAAAACUUUUUACAACUUAACACUAAUCUACCUUUUUGUUUCUGUUUUUUUUUUUUUUUUUUUUUAAUAGAAGUCUAGCUGGUUCUGAUUCAACUAACUAGACUUCUUACUAUUUUUCAUACUUGGCACUUACAUACAUCUACUAUCUCCAUACCUUUACAAUGGCUGUCCCAUAUGCUUAGAAUGUACAAUUCUCUCACUAUAUCUUAGAAUCCAUAAUUUUCUUCAAGGAUAGGUCCCAAUACUACCAGUUCUAUGAAACCUUUCCUGGUCCUCUCAAAUGCUAGAACCUCCCGCUCUUGCCCUCAAAUUAUCUUGGGUUUAGAUUUUGUAUUAACCUAUAUAAAAAUGUAUUGUCUCUCUUGGUCAAAAUCCCUCCAAGAAAAGACCUACUUCACACCAGGAGGCACAAUGGAUGGAUCACUGGUUCUGGAUUAAGGAAGACCUGAGUUCAAAGGAAUUCCCCCUAAAUCUUGGACUUCUCAGACUCAUCACGUCCAGCUCCUUCAGCAAUUUCAUCAACGUCACCUACACUGAUAUCAAAUGGCAAACCCAUCUCAUCAUUAAGAAAGUCUAGGAGCAAAGCCAGUUUACCAGCAACAAACCCAGCAGCCAGCUCUUCUGGGCAGGAUGUGUAGAAAAUGGAUGUCUGCCAAACAGCCAAAGAGUCCUCAUCUGACAUGCUAAGGGGUGGCAGCCAAGAAGAGAACGUCAAGAAACACUGACUACAAGAUACUGUUGGAGUUCACCCCCGAACCAGAACCCCAAAGCCUUGGAAUAGCAAAUUUCCAGCACGCUGCCCAUAGGUAUCAUCCUGGGAAGCAACCACUGUGGAGAUGCUGCCUGGUAACUACUCCUUUAAAUACAACAACCACUAUUAUAUAUAUUCAUGAAAGAAGUUUCUUGCUACUGAAAUCUUUGACCCUAUCAAGUGCUUCAACAUCAGAAACUGAUAUGAUUUUGUCAGUGGAAGGGAUAUUAAAGAAGAGGCAUUGCCAUACACUUUGCACCUUCAGGAUCAUGGGAAUUUUCCAUCUGACUGAAACUUUCUAGAUGUGUUGUCACCCCCUUUAGAAUGUAAGCUCCUUGAGAACAGGCACUGUUGUAAAUUUCCAAUUUGUAUCCCCAGUAGUUAAAAUGCUUUGUCAUAGUCUGUGUUUAACAAAUGUUUAUUCAAUCAUUCAUUCUUUAUUACUUCUUGCCUGUACUGGUAGAAUAGCCUUCUAAUUGGUCUCUGCCUCUAGACUCUUCUUAAUUCAAUUCACUUUCUAUAUAGUUGCCACAUGAUUUUUCCCCCCUGAAGCCCAGAACUGCUCAUUACUCUAUGCAAUAAACUCUAUUGGCUCCUUUAUUAAUUAUGGAAUCAAAUAUAAAUUCCACUGGCAUUUAAA